UGGGCUCACUAGAGGUAUAACUCAGGCUUCAUUCCAAACAUCUUAGUCUGUGAGGUUGAAAUCCAAAGAACCUAGUCGAUGCCCCGUGCCUUCUUCUCCCUCGUCCAAAAGCUCCCUUUCCUUUGUGCUACAACCAUCUCUCAGGCUCUCAACAUUGUCGACAUCCGACGCCCCAUGGCAUCGUCAACGUUGGCACCACCAUUCUCGUGAUAUUGCCUCCCGGACGCUCGUACGCCGUCCCGCGAUCGGAUACCACAGCCUCAUCAUAGCGCCGCGCCCUCCCAAGCAAUAUCUUCUCCCAGCUCAUCCUUUUUAUCACCGUUCGUGAAUUCUCGAGCGUCGUGGCCUCCUCCUCCUCCAAAGGUCCUCCUCCACUUCCUACCUAUGUUGCGGAGAGGCUCAAUAUCCGUAGCAAGGAAGAAAGUCUCACUGAGGGCGUCGUCGAGCCGCAUGGUCAUCGGAUGGUUAUCAUUUGGGGCCUGAGCCGAGCCGAGCCGACCAAUAACUGCGUUUAAUAUCGGCCCAUUACCAGCAUAUCAAAGACGCCAGCGACAGCGCUGAGGUCUGGGCGCUUACGGCGUCGAGAAGGGUGCUGGCUGCCGGAGCGAACUGGAACUACUCCCACUGCAACUAUCACGCCUAGUGCUUUCGAUCCAUCCAUUCUGCUCCGAUGUCACAUCUCUGGCCGCAGGCUACUGCUUCUUCGCCUCAACUCUCGACUAUGCCCUAGGAAUUCAUUCACUGCGAUGGCAUUUUGAGCAUACAUCAGAGGAGAUGACCAGUAGCCCCAGAUCCACCAUUUCUUGAUAUUCUCUGUAAGGAAGAUCGGAACCGAGGUAUUGUCAUUGUGCUGAUGAGGCUGUCUGGCUUUGGUAUGGGAAGUUAUAUACCUCGAGAAAUUAGGAAUCCACCGAGAAUCAAAA